AACUGAAGAGUUUGAUCAUGGCUCAGAUUGAACGCUGGCGGCAGGCCUAACACAUGCAAGUCGAGCGCGAAAACACUUCGGUGUGAGUAGAGCGGCGGACGGGUGAGUAAUGCUUGGGAAUCUGCCCAGUAGUGGGGGAUAACGUGUGGAAACGCACGCUAAUACCGCAUACGUCCUACGGGAGAAAGCAGGGGAUCUUCGGACCUUGCGCUAUUGGAUGAGCCCAAGUCAGAUUAGCUAGUUGGUGGGGUAAUGGCUCACCAAGGCGACGAUCUGUAGCUGGUCUGAGAGGAUGAUCAGCCACACUGGGACUGAGACACGGCCCAGACUCCUACGGGAGGCAGCAGUGG
rnacentral:rRNA from 1 species